UAGGGAAUCUUCGGCAAUGGGGGCAACCCUGACCGAGCAACGCCGCGUGAGUGAAGAAGUUUUCGGAUCGUAAAGCUCUGUUGUAAGAGAAGAACGUGUGUGAGAGUGGAAAGUUCACACAGUGACGGUAACUUACCAGAAAGGGACGGCUAACUACGUGCCAGCAGCCGCGGUAAUACGUAGGUCCCGAGCGUUGUCCGGAUUUAUUGGGCGUAAAGCGAGCGCAGGCGGUUUAAUAAGUCUGAAGUUAAAGGCAGUGGCUUAACCAUUGUUCGCUUUGGAAACUGUUAAACUUGAGUGCAGAAGGGGAGAGUGGAAUUCCAUGUGUAGCGGUGAAAUGCGUAGAUAUAUGGAGGAACACCGGUGGCGAAAGCGGCUCUCUGGUCUGUAACUGACGCUGAGGCUCGAAAGCGUGGGGAGCAAACAGG
rnacentral:rRNA from 1 species